rnacentral:rRNA from 1 species
AGAGUUUGAUCAUGGCUCAGGACGAACGCUGGCGGCGUGCCUAACACAUGCAAGUCGAGCGAGAAAGUCAUUUUCGGAUGGCGAGUACAGCGGCGGACGGGUGAGUAACACGUGAACAACCUGCCCUUGAGACUGGGAUAACAGCGGGAAACCGUUGCUAAUACCGGAUACGCUCUAGAUAUCGCAUGAUAUGUAGAGGAAAGGGGUUACUGCUCAAGGAUGGGUUCGCGUCCCAUUAGCUAGUUGGUGGGGUAACGGCCUACCAAGGCGACGAUGGGUAGCCGGCCUGAGAGGGUGUACGGCCACACUGGAACUGAGACACGGUCCAGACUCCUACGGGAGGCAGCAGUGGGGAAUUUUGCGCAAUGGGGGGAACCCUGACGCAGCGACGCCGCGUGAGCGAAGAAGGUUUUCGGAUCGUAAAGCUCUGUCACAGGGGACGAUAAUGACGGUACCCUGGGAGGAAGCCCCGGCUAACUACGUGCCAGCAGCCGCGGUAACACGUAGGGGGCGAGCGUUGUCCGGAAUUACUGGGCGUAAAGAGCGCGUAGGUGGUUAAGUAAGUCAGGUGUGAAAGGCCAGGGCUCAACCCUGGGACUGCACUUGAAACUGUUUAACUUGAGGGCAGGAGAGGUAAGUGGAAUUCCCAGUGUAGCGGUGAAAUGCGUAGAUAUUGGGAGGAACACCAGUGGCGAAAGCGACUUACUGGCCUGGCUCUGACACUGAGGCGCGAAAGCGUGGGGAGCGAACAGGAUUAGAUACCCUGGUAGUCCACGCCGUAAACGAUGGGUACUAGGUGUAGGAGGUAUCGACCCCUUCUGUGCCGCAGCAAACGCAUUAAGUACCCCGCCUGGGGAGUACGGCCGCAAGGUUGAAACUCAAAUGAAUUGACGG